UACUUAUCAAAAGAUGGAGAGGGGUUCAGCCUGCAAUUCAAAAGACUAAACUGGAAUUUGGAAGAGGGAAGAGAAUAGGAUUUUGAGCAGAGGUUACCAGAAGAACAAAGGCAGAAAAACCAACAUCCAUUCAGGGAUUAAUUUAUCAAUGAAUACAUUUAUAACUCUGAACUCACACGGAAAAAAUGGGAAAUAUGACCAGGGAAUUCAUACUGCCUGUUUAGUGGAUUGAAGUAAGUCUCCGUAUUACACUUACUCAUAUUCAAACAUGAAUCCAAAGUUAUUUCAUAAUGAGUCUUUUUAAAUUAUCAUUGUUCUUGUUCACCUUCAAAACUAAUAAAAACAGUUGAUUGUGUCUUUAAUGACCAAAGUCAAAAUGUUUAUUAAAAACUCAUUCAAUAGUGCUUUAUUGCAGGUGUUACAUAAUCUUCCAGUAAUUUGUGCUUGACGGCUAGGUGUGGUGUCCCACACCCGUAAUCCCAGCACUCUGGGAGGCCAAGAGGAGAGGAAAAUUUGAGGUCAGGAGCUCAAGACCAGCCUGGCCAACAUGGUGAAACCCGGUCUAUACUAAAAAUACACACACAAAAAUUAGCUGGGCAUGGUGGCAGUAAUCCAAGCAACUCAGGAGGCUGAGGCAUGAGAAUCGCUUGAACCUGGGAGGCUGAGGUUGCGGUGAGCCCAGAUCGUGCCACUGCACUCCAGCCUGGGCAACACUGCACUCCAGCCUGGGCAACAACAGCGAAACUUCAUCCCCGCCCCCCACCCAAAAAAAAAAAAGAAAAGAAUUGGUGCUUGUUGCAAUAUAUCAGCAUGAAAUAUUUAUCAAAUGUCCCUAGCAUUGUUAUACAUCAUAAACCAAAAGACAUUAAAAUAUUCAAGUAGCUAAGUCAAUGUCCAUAUGCAG
rnacentral:lncRNA from 1 species